rnacentral:rRNA from 1 species
AGUGAACGCUGGCGGUAGGCCUAGUACAUGCAAGUCGAGCGGAAGCACAGUAAGAGUUUGCUCUUACGGGUGGCGAGUGGCGGACGGGUGAGGCAUGCAUCGGAAUCUUCUUUUUCGUGGGGGAUAACGUAGGGCAGCUUACGCAACUACCGCAUAUAAUGCACGGGUGAGAUCAGGGGAUAUUCGGGCCUUGCGCGUAUGAAUGAGACGAUGUCGGAUUAGAUAGUUGGCGGGGUAAAGGCCCACCAAGGCGACGAUCCGUAGCUGGUCUGAGAGGAUGAUCAGCCACACUGGAACUGAGACACGGUCCAGACUCCUACGGGAGGCAGCAGUAGGGAAUAUUGCGCAAUGGGCGCAAGCCUGACCCAGCCAUGCCGCGUGAGUGAAGAAGGCCUUCGGAUCGUAAAGCCCUUUUAUUAGGAAAGAAAAGCAGCAUAAUAAAACCCCGCCGUCCUGACGGUACCCAAAGAAAAAGCACCGGCUAACUACGUG